CAGCCGCCGCGGGAAUACGAAGGGUGCAAGCGUUACCCGGAACUACUGGGCGUAAAGCGUGCGUAGGUGGUGGUUUAAGUCCGUUGUGAAAGCCCUGGGCUCAACCUGGGAAUUGCAGUGGAUACUGGGUCACUAGAGUGUGGUAGAGGAUAGUGGAAUUUCCGGUGUAGCAGUGAAAUGCGUAGAGAUCGGAAGGAACAUCUGUGGCGAAGGCGACUAUCUGGGCCAACACUGACACUGAGGCACGAAAGCGUGGGGAGCAAACAGGAUUAGAUACCCCAGUAGUCCCUGUCUCUUAUAC
rnacentral:rRNA from 1 species